rnacentral:lncRNA from 1 species
AGGACUUAUACAUUUCUCUAAAAGCCCAAGCAUGCAGUUAUAUUUGUUUGUAUUUUUCUUCUUUCAAUUACCAUGUACAUGUAUUAGGCUAUGCAAAAGGUCACCAUUUAUAAGGAUAUGAAGGUAUUUUACAGAUAUUAGAAAAAUGUGCAAAAAAGUAAGUCUGGAAGCGAGGCCCAAAAAAUAUAGAUAAUUAUAGAAUAUAGAGGUGAUGAAAUAUAAAGAAAAUAUUGAUUGAUUGUUGAGGUUUUUUAACGUUCAGUGGCAAAUAUUUGAUGCGUGUUUAGGUCGAAUAAAUAUAAUAACGAUCAAUUGGCAGGAAUAUAAAGAAAUAAGCGAAAAAGUAAAAAUAUUUAAAAGUAAGGAAAUAUAGAAACAAUGAUCUGACCCUCCCCCCCCCAAACAACAAACAAACAAACAAACAAAAUAAACAUAACACCCACUCAACGUGACUCGCAUAUAUAUAUAUCUCCAAAAAAAAUUGGUUCAUGGUGAAAAUUGAGGUCCUGGAUCCGCCCCUGGAAAAACUAUUACAAUAAAGUGUAUAAUCAGAUAUGGGAGUAUAUUCGAUGUUUGUUAUACCAUGGUUCACUUACACGCA